ACGAACGCUGGCGGCGUGCUUAACACCUGCAAGUCGAACGGAAAGGCCCUGCUUUUGUGGGGUGCUCGAGUGGCGAACGGGUGAGUAACACGUGAGUAACCUGCCCUUGACUUUGGGAUAACUUCAGGAAACUGGGGCUAAUACCGGAUAGGAGCUCCUGCUGCAUGGUGGGGGUUGGAAAGUUUCGGCGGUUGGGGAUGGACUCGCGGCUUAUCAGCUUGUUGGUGGGGUAGUGGCUUACCAAGGCUUUGACGGGUAGCCGGCCUGAGAGGGUGACCGGCCACAUUGGGACUGAGAUACGGCCCAGACUCCUACGGGAGGCAGCAGUGGGGAAUAUUGCACAAUGGGCGGAAGCCUGAUGCAGCAACUCCGCGUGCGGGAUGACGGCCUUCGGGUUGUAAACCGCUUUCGCCUGUGACGAAGCGUGAGUGACGGUAAUGGGUAAAGAAGCACCGGCUAACUACGUG
rnacentral:rRNA from 1 species